AUUCCUACGGGAGGCAGCAGUAGGGAAUCUUCCGCAAUGGACGAAAGUCUGACGGAGCAACGCCGCGUGAGUGAAGAAGGUUUUCGGAUCGUAAAACUCUGUUGUGAGGGAAGAACAAGUACCAACUAACUACUGGUACCUUGACGGUACCUCACCAGAAAGCCACGGCUAACUACGUGCCAGCAGCCGCGGUAAUACGUAGGUGGCAAGCGCUGUCCGGAAUUAUUGGGCGUAAAGCGCGCGCAGGCGGUCCUUUAAGUCUGAUGUGAAAGCCCACGGCUCAACCGUGGAGGGUCAUUGGAAACUGGGGGACUUGAGUGCAGAAGAGGAAAGUGGAAUUCCAGGUGUAGCGGUGAAAUGCGUAGAGAUGUGGAGGAACACCAGUGGCGAAGGCGACUUUCUGGUCUGUAACUGACGCUGAGGCGCGAAAGCGUGGGGAGCAAACAGGAUUAGAUACCCUGGUAGUCCACGCCGUAAACGAUGAGUGCUAAGUGUUAGGGGGUUUCCGCCCCUUAGUGCUGCAGCUAACGCAUUAAGCACUCCGCCUGGGGAGUACGGCCGCAAGACUGAAACUCAAAGGAAUUGACGAAU
rnacentral:rRNA from 1 species